ensembl:lncRNA
CUCGCCUCAGUUCCCUCCCAACCCCUCUCUGUGGCUCCGUUUCCCCAUCUGUAAAACAGGGAUGUUUUUGCCUAUCUCUGAGGCUGGUGGUGAAGGUUAGGAAAGAGAAGUUAAGCAGGGCGUGUGGUUUCCAAGGCUCACCAGCUGUGCUCCCUGUCACUCGGAUGUCUCAAUGCCUGGCACAUAAGCGUGUUCACCAGUGAAACCACCACCCAGAGCGACGCACUGAGGGGGCGAUCAUCUCAACAAUAUUCUGAAGGAAAUUCCCUUUUCUGGAGGGCACGGGGAGGUGAGACCAGCCACAACAUGGAAGUAACCCAAGCAUCCACAGAUGGGUGACCGGAUACACGAAAUGUGGACCAUACAUACAAUGGAAUAUUAUUCACCUUUAACAAGGAAGGAAAUCCUGACACACACUAGAAAUGGAGGAAGCUGGAGGACAUUGGGCCAAGCGAAACAUGCCAGUGACGAAAGAACAAAUACUGCAUGAUUCCACGCGUAUGAGGGUUGUUCCAAGGCCAAAUGAGGUCACAGCAACAGCUGUUUAUUGAGUGAUUACUACAUGCCAGGGACUGAGAGAAGCACUUUACAGGGGCUAACUUGUUCAAUUCUCACAACAACACUACGAAGAUGUUCUUUUAUUGCCCCCAUUUUACAGAUGAGCAAAACCAGGGCUUUAGAAGAGAAGCCGCCUGCUCUGCGUUACACAGAGGGAAGUAGAGAGGCUGGGACUCAGACCUGAGUUGUGGUGACAGCCUGUGAGCACUGAGGUGGGGAGUCACCGCUGCCACCUUCCCUUCCUCCUCCAAGAAGUCUCCCAAGAUUCCUGCACGGGGGUGGCGCUCCUCUGAGCCCCUGGGAGCUCCCUCCUCUGGUUUCUAUGUGUCUCUGGCUCCCCUUGACCUGCUCACUUUGGACGUUAUUUCUGUCUCUGCCCCCAGCAGAAUGCAGGCUCUCCGAAGGUGGGUCUGGGUGGCUUUCAUUUUGGAAUCCGGGGUGCCCAGCCCAGAUGGCACAGAGCUGACAGAAGCCUGGGCAGCGGUGGAGAGCUCGGCCCGAGGGCAGGACCCUGGACAGCUCAGCUGGGAUCCGCUGGGCGCGGUGCCGCCUGCAGCCUGCAGGGUUUUGUGACGGUGUUAGUGACCACGACAGCCCUGAAAAGGAAGAGGAGGAGGAGGGUGAAUAAGACUACGACGACGUCGGCACCAUGUCCACAUCUCGCCAUCCUGUGUGGGGCCCAUGCUGUGCUGUAUCGGUCACAAAAGUCAGUCAUGCUGUAGGAACAACACACAUCUCAGUGGCUGACACCACCCAGGUUUACCCAUCACUCCUGCAAAGCCUGGCGGUCCAGAUGACGCUCCGGGACAGGGGUCCUCCGCACACACACUCAGCGAGCCAGGCCCGCGUCUGGAUCCUGUGGCUUCCCCACCGCAGGAGGACGUCACAGCAGCAGCGGCAGGACAAGGGCGUGCUCAAGGGUUUGCAGCAGCAAUGUCACUUCUGUGCACAGAACUGGUCCCCCACCCCCACCCCGCAAAUGCUGGGAUGGGGGAGUGCAAGUCUCCUGUGUUUCCAGAUGCACAGGAGCUCUUAAUAUUUCUACCACAUGGGACAAACAUUUUACAUAAUCACACCUCACUUAACGCUUGUGACAAUUCCUGAGCACACACAAUCCUGGGAGAGUCAGUAGAGUAGAGGCCAAGGCCUUGGACUCUGGAGUCAGAUCCGGGUUCAAACUACAGUUCCACUGUCCAAUGAGUGAUGGCCUGGCUCCACAGGUAGUGAGCUCCCCAUCACAGGAAGUAUACAAGCAGAAAUUGGAUGACCACUUUGAUCAUCAUCAUCAUUGUACAUUAGUGGCUGAUCUCUCCCAGAAGAUGCCUACCUUUUAUUUUAUUUUUAAAUUAUGUUUUAUAGAGGUAAAAUGUAUCUACCGCAAAAUGCAUAUAACUUGUGUACCACUGGCUGCGUUUUGACAAAUUCUACACCUGUGUAACUAACACUCCAGCCAAGAUAUAAAAUAUUUCC